rnacentral:rRNA from 1 species
UACGAAGGGGGCGAGCGUUGUUCGGAAUUACUGGGCGUAAAGGGCGCGCAGGCGGCUCUGAAAGUCAGAUGUGAAAGCCCCGGGCUUAACCUGGGAACUGCAUUUGAUACUCUAGAGCUUGAGUACGGGAGAGGAGAGUGGAAUUCCCAGUGUAGAGGUGAAAUUCGUAGAUAUUGGGAAGAACACCGGUGGCGAAGGCGGCUCUCUGGACCGUAACUGACGCUGAGGCGCGAAAGCGUGAGGAGCAAACAGG